GACGAACGCUGGCGGCGUGCUUAACACAUGCAAGUCGAACGCUGAAGCUCAGCUUUUGUUGGGUGGAUGAGUGGCGAACGGGUGAGUAACACGUGAGUAACCUGCCUCCUUCUUUGGGAUAACGCCCGGAAACGGGUGCUAAUACUGGAUAUUCACUGGUCUUCGCAUGGGGGUUGGUGGAAAGGGUUUUUCUGGUGGGGGAUGGGCGCGCGGCCUAUCAGCUUGUUGGUGGGGUGAUGGCCUACCAAGGCUUUGACGGGUAGCAGGGCUGAGAGGGUGACCGGUCACAUUGGGACUGAGAUACGGCCCAGACUCCUACGGGAGGCAGCAGUGGGGAAUAUUGCACAAUGGGCGCUAGCCUGAUGCCGCGACGCCGCGUGAGGGAUGGAGGCCUUCGGGUUGUGAACCUCUUUCGCUCAUGGUCAAGCCGCAACAAUGGUUGUGGUGAGGUUAGUGGGUAAAGAAGCGCCGGCUAACUACGUG
rnacentral:rRNA from 1 species